rnacentral:rRNA from 1 species
UGCAAGUCGAGCGAACUGAUUAGAAGCUUGCUUCUAUGACGUUAGCGGCGGACGGGUGAGUAACACGUGGGCAACCUGCCUGUAAGACUGGGAUAACUUCGGGAAACCGAAGCUAAUACCGGAUAACAUCAUUCCUUGCAUAAGGAAUGAUUGAAAGAUGGUUUCGGCUAUCACUUACAGAUGGGCCCGCGGUGCAUUAGCUAGUUGGUGAGGUAACGGCUCACCAAGGCAACGAUGCAUAGCCGACCUGAGAGGGUGAUCGGCCACACUGGGACUGAGACACGGCCCAGACUCCUACGGGAGGCAGCAGUAGGGAAUCUUCCGCAAUGGACGAAAGUCUGACGGAGCAACGCCGCGUGAGUGAUGAAGGCUUUCGGGUCGUAAAACUCUGUUGUUAGGGAAGAACAAGUAUGAGAGUAACUGCUCGUACCUUGACGGUACCUAACCAGAAAGCCACGGCUAACUACGUGCCAGCAGCCGCGGUAAUACGUAGGUGGCAAGCGUUAUCCGGAAUUAUUGGGCGUAAAGCGCGCGCAGGCGGUUUCUUAAGUCUGAUGUGAAAGCCCACGGCUCAACCGUGGAGGGUCAUUGGAAACUGGGGAACUUGAGUGCAGAAGAGAAGAGCGGAAUUCCACGUGUAGCGGUGAAAUGCGUAGAGAUGUGGAGGAACACCAGUGGCGAAGGCGGCUUUUUGGUCUGUAACUGACGCUGAGGCGCGAAAGCGUGGGG